rnacentral:rRNA from 1 species
AGUGAAUAGAUACCCGGGUAGUCCACGCCGUAAACGUUGCUCACUAGGCAUUGGAAAGUAUCGACCCUUUUUGUGCCGAAAGCUAAACGCGUUAAGUGAGCCGCCUGGGGAGUACGAGCGCAAGCUUAAAACUCAAAGGAAUUGGCGGGGAGACGCACAAGCGGUGGAGCGUGGGGUUUAAUUCGUCAGCAAGCGUAGAACCUCACCCAGGCUUGACAUCCCGAGAAUCCCUAAGAAAUUAGGGAGUGCCCGCAAGGGAGCUCGGUGACAGGUGUUGCACGGUCGUCGUCAGCUCGUGUCGUGAGAUGUUCCGUUCAGUCGGCAAACGAGCGCAACCCUUGCCUUUAGUUGUAUCACUCUAAAGGGACUGCCCAGGUUAACUGGGAGGAAGGUGGGGAUGACGUCAGAUCUGCGUGACCCUUACGCCUGGGGCGACACCCGCGCUACAAUGGGGCAUACAAUGGGUUGCGAAGCCGCAUGGUGGAGCUAAUCCCAUCAAAAUGUCUCUAAGUCCGGAUUGAGGUCUGCAACUCGACCUC